rnacentral:rRNA from 1 species
CGCGGCCUAUCAGCUUGUUGGUGGGGUAAUGGCCUACCAAGGCGGCGACGGGUAGCCGGCCUGAGAGGGUGUGCGGCCACAUUGGGACUGAGAUACGGCCCAGACUCCUACGGGAGGCAGCAGUGGGGAAUUUUGCACAAUGGGCGGAAGCCUGAUGCAGCGACGCCGUGUGGGGGAUGAAGGCCUUCGGGUUGUAAACUCCUUUCGUCAGGGACGAAGUUUGUUUGACGGUACCCGGAUAAGAAGCACCGGCUAACUACGUGCCAGCAGCCGCGGUAAUACGUAGGGUGCGAGCGUUGUCCGGAUUUACUGGGCGUAAAGGGCUCGUAGGUGGUGUGUUGCGUCGUCUGUGUAAUCCAGGGGCUUAACUUUUGGUUGGCAGGCGAUACGGGCAUUGCUUGAGUGCUGUAGGGGAGACUGGAAUUCCUGGUGUAGCGGUGAAAUGCGCAGAUAUCAGGAGGAACACCGAUGGCGAAGGCAGGUCUCUGGGCAGUUACUGACGCUGAGGAGCGAGAGCAUGGGUAGCGAACAGGAUUAGAUACCCUGGUAGUCUAUGCUGUAAACGGUGGGCGCUAGGUGUGAGCCUCUUCCACGGGGUUUGCGCCGUAGCUAACGCUUUAAGCGCCCCGCCUGGGGAGUACGG